rnacentral:rRNA from 1 species
AGCUCAAAUUUAAAAUCUGGCAGUCUUUGAUUGUCCGAGUUGUAAUUUAGAGAAGUGUUACCCGUGCUGGACCGUGUACAAGUCUCCUGGAAUGGAGCGUCAUAGAGGGUGAGAAUCCCGUCUUUGACACGGACUCCCAGUGCAUUGUGGUAUGCUCUCAAAGAGUCGAGUUGUUUGGGAAUGCAGCUCUAAAUGGGUGGUAAAUUCCAUCUAAAGCUAAAUAUUGGCGAGAGACCGAUAGCGAACAAGUACCGUGAGGGAAAGAUGAAAAGAACUUUGGAAAGAGAGUUAAACAGUACGUGAAAUUGCUGAAAGGGAAACGCUUGAAGUCAGUCGCGUUGGCUAGGGAUCAACCUUGCUUUUAGUGGGGUGUACUUCCUAGUUGACGGGUCAGCAUCAGUUUUGACCACUGGAAAAAGGCUUUGGGAAUGUGGCAACUCCGGUUGUGUUAUAGCCCAUUGUCGUAUACAGUGGUUGGGACUGAGGAACUCAGCACGCCGCAAGGCCGGGAUUCGUCCACGUUCGUGCUUAGGAUGCUGGCAUAAUGGCUCUAAGCGACCCGUCUUGAAACACGGACCAAGGAGUCUAACAUGCUUGCGAGUGUUUGGGUGGUAAACCCGAGCGCGUAAUGAAAGUGAAAGUUGGGAUCUCUGUCGUGGAGAGCACCGACGCCCGGACCUGAUGUUUACUGACGGAUCUGCGGUAGAGCACGUAUGUUGGGACCCGAAAGAUGGUGAACUAUGCCUGAAUAGGGUGAAGCCAGAGGAAACUCUGGUGGAGGCUCGUAGCGAUUCUGACGUGCAAAUCGAUCGUCAAAUUUGGGUAUAGGGGCGAAAGACUAAUCGAACCAUCUAGUAGCUGGUUCCUGCCGAAGUUUCCCUCAGGAUAGCAGAAGCUCAUUGUCAGAUUUAUGUGGUAAAGCGAAUGAUUAGAGGCCUUGGGGUUGUAACAACCUUAACCUAUUCUCAAACUUUAAAUAUGUAAGAACGAGCUGUCUCUUAGUUGGACCGCUCGGCGAUUGACGAGUUUCUAGUGGGCCAUUUUUGGUAAGCAGAACUGGCGAUGCGGGAUGAACCGAACGCGAGGUUAAGGUGCCGGAAUUCACGCUCAUCAGACACUACAAAAGGUGUUAGUUCAUCUAGACAGCAGGACGGUGGCCAUGGAAGUCGGAAUCCGCUAAGGAGUGUGUAACAACUCACCUGCCGAAUGAACUAGCCCUGAAAAUGGAUGGCGCUUAAGCGUGAUACCCAUACCUCGCCGUCAGCGUUGAAGUGACGCGCUGACGAGUAGGCAGGCGUGGAGGUCGGUGAAGAAGCCUUGGCAGUGAUGCUGGGUGGAACGGCCUCUAGUGAG